rnacentral:rRNA from 1 species
UACGUAGGGUGCGAGCGUUGUCCGGAAUUAUUGGGCGUAAAGGGCUCGUAGGCGGUCUGUCGCGUCGGGAGUGAAAACUCAGGGCUUAACCCUGAGCCUGCUUCCGAUACGGGCAGACUAGAGGUAUGCAGGGGAGAACGGAAUUCCUGGUGUAGCGGUGGAAUGCGCAGAUAUCAGGAGGAACACCGGUGGCGAAGGCAGCUCGCUGGGACGUAACUGACGCUGAGACGCGAAAGCGUGGGGAGCAAACAGG